AUUGAACGCUGGCGGCAGGCUUAACACAUGCAAGUCGAGCGGAGAUGAGGUGCUUGCACCUUAUCUUAGCGGCGGACGGGUGAGUAAUGCUUAGGAAUCUGCCUAUUAGUGGGGGACAACAUUCCGAAAGGAAUGCUAAUACCGCAUACGUCCUACGGGAGAAAGCAGGGGAUCUUCGGACCUUGCGCUAAUAGAUGAGCCUAAGUCGGAUUAGCUAGUUGGUGGGGUAAAGGCCUACCAAGGCGACGAUCUGUAGCGGGUCUGAGAGGAUGAUCCGCCACACUGGGACUGAGCCACGGCCCAGACUCCUACGGGAGGCAGCAGUGGGGAAUAUUGGACAAUGGGGGGAACCCUGAUCCAGCCAUGCCGCGUGUGUGAAGAAGGCCUUAUGGUUGUAAAGCACUUUAAGCGAGGAGGAGGCUACUGAGACUAAUACUCUUGGAUAGUGGACGUUACUCGCAGAAUAAGCACCGGCUAACUCUGUGCCAGCAGCCGCCGUAAAAC
rnacentral:rRNA from 1 species